GGCUCAAGUUCAGUACCGAAGCCGCGGAUGCGACUCUUUGAGUCGUGUGGUAGCGGAGCGUCGAGCGUGCAGCGAAGCGGCGGGACAACCCAGCCGUGGAGCGCGUUCGAGUGCGAAUGUUGGCAUGAGUAGCGAAUGAGGGGUGAGAACCCCCUCCGCCGUAUGUCCAAGGGUUCCUGGGCGAGGCCAAUCCUCCCAGGGUGAGUCGGGAGCUAAGGCGAGGCCGAGAGGCGUAGUCGAUGCACAACUGGUUGAUAUUCCAGUACCACCAUGUUCGCGUCCGUCCCAAUACUCUGUUGCUAAGGGGCUGUGUUGACUUCGGUCAACGCGAACCGACCCACAUUGUUGCGGGAAGCUGUAGGGGGACGCAGGAAGGUAGAUGAACCCGGUGAAUGGUAGAACCGGGGUAAGCGUGUAGGAGGAGGACCAGGUAAAUCCGGGCCUCAUAAACUCUGAGACGUGAUACCGAGCCGCUUCAGGCGAAGUCAUUGAUCCUAUGCUGCCUAGAAAAGCCCAGCAGCGAGUUGACAUGGUGCCCGUACCCCAAACCAACACAGGUGGACAGGUAGAGCAUACCAAGGCGAGUGGGAUAACUAUGGUUAAGGAACUCGGCAAAUUGCCUCCGUAACUUCGGGAGAAGGAGGACCCCAGUAGCGUGAUGAGACUUGCUCUCUGAGCGUGAAGGGGUGGCACAAAAUUGAGGGAAGCGACUGUUUACCAAAAACACAGCAGCGUGCUAAGCCGUAAGGCGCUGUAUACGCUGUGACUCCUGCCCGGUGCUGGAAGGUUACGGGGAUGGGUUAGUCCUUCGGGACGAAGCUCUGAACCUAAGCCCCAGUAAACGGCGGCCGUAACUAUAACGGUCCUAAGGUAGCGAAAUCCCUUGUCGGGUAAGUUCCGACCUGCACGAAUGGAGUAACGACUUCCCUACUGUCUCAACCAUAGACCCAGCGAAAUUGAAGUACGAGUAAAGAUGCUCGUUAGCUGCAGAAGGACGGAAAGACCCCGUGGACCUUUACUAUAACUUGAUGUUGUGUUUUGUCAUAUGUUGUGUAGGAUAGGUGGGAGACUUGGAAGCAUGGACGCUAGUCUGUGUGGAGUCAUCGUUGAAAUACCACCCUGCAUAUGGUGAGGCUCUAACCUAGACCCAUUAUCCGGGUUGGGGACAGCGUCAGGCGGGUAGUUUAACUGGGGCGGUUGCCUCCUAAAGAGUAACGGAGGCGCCCAAAGGUUCCCUCAGCCUGGUUGGCAAUCAGGCGUUGAGUGCAAUGGCAAAAGGGAGCUUGACUGCGAGACCUACAAGUCGAGCAGGAGCGAAAGCUGGGCAUAGUGAUCCGGCGGUUGCGUGUGGAAGCGCCGUCGCUCAACGGAUAAAAGGUACCCCGGGGAUAACAGGCUAAUCUUGCCCAAGCGUCCAUAGCGACGGCAAGGUUUGGCACCUCGAUGUCGGCUCAUCGCAUCCUGGGGCUGAAGCAGGUCCCAAGGGUUGGGCUGUUCGCCCAUUAAAGCGGUACGCGAGCUGGGUUCAGAACGUCGUGAGACAGUUCGGUCCCUAUCCUCUGCAGCCGGAGGUGAAUUGAGGAAAGCUGUCCCUAGUACGAGAGGACCGGGACGGACGCAGCUCUCGUGUGCCAGUUGUCCUGCCAAGGGCAUGGCUGGUUAGCGACCUGCGGAAAGGAUAACCGCUGAAAGCAUCUAAGCGGGAAGCCUCUUCCAAGAUGAAUUCACCCACAGGGUUAACCUGGUAAGGCCCGUGGUAGACCACCACGUUGAUAGGCCGGAAGUGUAAGCGUGGCAACACGUUCAGCUGACCGGUACUAAUCGGCCGAGGGCUUGAGUU
rnacentral:rRNA from 1 species